rnacentral:ncRNA from 1 species
GUUUUUUGUUGCCUUGGAGAAACGGCCGAAACGCUUACCGAGACUAUCCAAGUAAAAUACGUCUCUCAUACCAACUCUGGAGGGUAGAGUUGGAAUACUAUACCCA